rnacentral:rRNA from 1 species
CAAACCCAUUUCUAAGGUUGACCUCGGAUCAGGUAGGGAUACCCGCUGAACUUAAGCAUAUCAAUAAGCGGAGGG